rnacentral:lncRNA from 10 species
AGUUUCUUCAUCCCUUCAUCUAUGGAUGGACAGGUUCCACAGUGUUGCCACGGAUGACCUGAUUUCAGUACCCAUGUCUGGCUGAAGAGUAUCUGGUUGUGACUGGAUACUGCAGUUUCUGGAUCUCAUCCUCUGUGGGUGGACAGGUUUCUCCAUCUUGCUGGUAGUGAACUGAUGUCCGGAAGUUUGAUGGCCGAAGAGUAUACCGUUGUGCAUAUAUCCUUCAAUUCCUGAUUUUAUCAUCUGUAGAAAGACAAGACAAAUGGCCACUCUGACCAGCGUGUGAUGGCACCGGUACCUCAUCUCUGAUGAUUGGUGAUGUUGAGCAUUCCCCAUGCCUGUUGGAAUGGCAAUCCCUUGGAAAUGUCUUCUCAAUAGUUACUACCCAUAGGUAUGUUGCUCAGGCCACUGUGUGGCCCCAGCACUUGGUUUGCAUAGGGACUUGGGGAUUGUUUGUCAUCAUUAGCCGGGACAAAUGUUACACUGCUGUUCCUACAGUGAGUAGUGGGAGUGGCGUAUGGGGGCAUAUGCUUAUGUCCACAGUUCCAUCAGAAAUCCCACUGCCUUAAGACAGUCUUACGGAAACCGAGUCCCAGCCUUGCAGCACCGGGUAGCCCUGUGGCAUUUUGACAUUGAGUGUGUCUGCAUUGUUGAAGUCACUCAGCAUGUUGCCAUGCGUUUAUCCACUUAGGUCAACGUUAAGGGAAGUUCAUCGCCUCUGCUUCUUCAGUAACUGAUGUCUGGUGCAUCAACUGAAUGCAUUUCAGGCUUUUCAGCAGUUCCCCCAGAUCUAUGGGUAAAAAAAGGUUUUCACCAUGCCCACCUCCCCAGUGAGUGACGAAUGUCUCAUUGUUAAUGCAUCUGAUGCACAGAGUUUAGUGGUCUGAGGGAGGUCAGUCGCCAAGUGGAGAUUGAAAUCACAUUUGUAUUUACAUUAUUACUUUUCUACAGUUUGGUUUGUUGCAGGCUUUCACACUACUAAUCUGGGCUGAAUCCUUGAAU